rnacentral:rRNA from 1 species
UUCUGGUUGAUCCUGCCGGAGGCUACCGCUAUUGGAGUUCGAUUAAGCCAUGCGAGUCGCGAGAAAUUAGAUUCUCGGCGUACCGCUCAGUAACACGUGGGUAACCUGCCCUAUGCUGGAUAAUAACCUCGGGAAACUGAGAAUAAUGAUCCAUAGUUCACUACGCCUGGAACGGUGAGUGGAUGAAAGCUCCGGCGGCAUAGGAUGGGCCUGCGGCGUAUCAGGUUGUAGGGGGUGUAACGUACCCUCUAGCCCUCUACGCGUACGGGUGUUGGGAGACAUAGCCCGGAGAUGGAUUCUGAGACACGAAUCCAGACCCUACGGGGUGCAGCAGGCGCGAAAACUUGGCAAUGCGAGAAAUCGUGACCAGGGAACUCCAAGUGCAUCGGGUAAGACCGGUGCUUUUCUUGACUCUAAAUAGGUCUUGGAAUAAGGGGUGGGUAAGGACGGUGCCAGCCGCCGCGGUAAUACCGGCGCCUCAAGUGGUAGUCGCUUUUAUUGGGCCUAAAACGUCCGUAGCCGGUCUGAUACAUUCGUGGGUAAAUCAACCAGCUCAACUGGUUGAAUUCUGCGAGGACGGUCAGACUUGGGACCGGGAGAGGUGUGGGGUACGCUCAGGGUAGGGGUAAAAUCCUGUCAUCCUGAGCGGACCACCUGUUGCGAAGGCGCCACACUAGAACGGAUCCGACGGUCAGGGACGAAGCCUAGGGGCACGAACCGGAUUAGAUACCCGGGUAGUCCUA